rnacentral:rRNA from 1 species
CCUACGGGAGGCAGCAGUGGGGAAUAUUGGGCAAUGGGCGCAAGCCUGACCCAGCAACGCCGCGUGAAUGAAGAAGGCUUUCGGGUUGUAAACUUCUUUUAAGAGGGAAGAGCAGAAGAAGGUAACUCUUGAAUAAGCCACGGCUAACUACGUUGCAGCAGCCGCGGGAAUACGUAGGUGGGCAGCGUUGUCCGGAAUUACUGGGGGUAAAGGGCGUGCAGGCGGGAAGACAAGUCAGAUGUGAAAUCCCGCGGCUCAACCGCGGAACUGCAUUUGAAACUGUUUUACUUGAGUGCCGGAGAGGUAAUCGGAAUUCCUUGUGUAGCGGUGAAAUGCGUAGAUAUAAGGAAGAACACCAGUGGCGAAGGCGGAUUACUGGACUGCAACUGACGGUGAGGCGCGAAAGCGUGGGGAGCAAACAGGAUUAGAUACCCCUGUAGUC